UACGGAGGGUGCGAGCGUUGUCCGGAAUCACUGGGCGUAAAGGGCGCGUAGGCGGCCUGAUAAGUAGGGGGUGAAAUCCUGCGGCUUAACCGCAGGGCUGCCUUCUAAACUGUCAGGCUAGAGCACGGUAGAGGCAGAUGGAAUUCCCGGUGUAGCGGUGGAAUGCGUAGAGAUCGGGAAGAACAUCAGUGGCGAAGGCGGUCUGCUGGGCCGUUGCUGACGCUGAGGCGCGACAGCGGUGGGAGCAACAG
rnacentral:rRNA from 1 species